GAUGAACGCUGGCGGCGUGCCUAUACAUGCAAGUCGAGCGAAUGGAUUAAGAGCUUGCUCUUAUGAAGUUAGCGGCGGACGGGUGAGUAACACGUGGGUAACCUGCCCAUAAGACUGGGAUAACUCCGGGAAACAGGGGCUAAUACCGGAUAACAUUUUGAACCGCAUGGUUCGAAAUUGAAAGGCGGCUUCGGCUGUCACUUAUGGAUGGACCCGCGUCGCAUUAGCUAGUUGGUGAGGUAACGGCUCACCAAGGCAACGAUGCGUAGCCGACCUGAGAGGGUGAUCGGCCACACUGGGACUGAGACACGGCCCAGACUCCUACGGGAGGCAGCAGUAGGGAAUCUUCCGCAAUGGACGAAAGUCUGACGGAGCAACGCCGCGUGAGUGAUGAAGGCUUUCGGGUCGUAAAACUCUGUUGUUAGGGAAGAACAAGUGCUAGUUGAAUAAGCUGGCACCUUGACGGUACCUAACCAGAAAGCCACGGCUAACUACGUGCCAGCCGCCGCCGUAA
rnacentral:rRNA from 1 species